AGGAGUCUAAUAAAUGUGCAAGUUUCAUGUGUGGGCAAACUCAUAAACAUAAUGAAAGAAAACGCCGGUAUCCUUGCACUAGCAUCUGACCAAUUUACAGUAAAAGGAUUGAGUUAGAACAUAUGUGUUCGGACUCGAAAGAUGGUGAACAUGCCUGAGAACAGUGAUUUCAGGGGAAACUCUGAUGGAGGGUUGUAGCGGUACUGACGUGCAAAAUCGUUCGGCAUACUUGAGUAUAGGGGCGAAGACUAAUCGAACCAUCUAGUAGCUUGUUCCCUC
rnacentral:misc_RNA from 1 species